rnacentral:rRNA from 1 species
UACGAAGGGGGCGAGCGUUGUUCGGAUUGACUGGGCGUAAAGGGCGCGUAGGCGGCCCUUCAAGUCAGGCGUGAAAGCCCCGGGCUUAACCUGGGAACGGCGCUUGAGACUGAAGAGCUUGAGUUCGGGAGAGGAUGGUGGAAUUCCCAGUGUAGAGGUGAAAUUCGUAGAGAUUGGGAAGAACACCGGUGGCGAAGGCGGCCAUCUGGACCGACACUGACGCUGAGGCGCGACAGCGUGGGGAGCAAACAGG